rnacentral:rRNA from 1 species
AGAGUUUGAUCAUGGCUCAGAACGAACGCUGGCGGCGUGCUUAACACAUGCAAGUCGAGUGCGCGUACCGUAGCAAUACGGUAUGGCGCACGGCGCACGGGUGCGUAACACGUGGGCAAUCUGCCCUUCGAUGGGGAAUAACUCCGGGAAACCGAAGCUAAUUCCGCAUAACAUUCCUUGGACUUCGGUUCGAGGACUCAAAGCCGUAAGGCGUCGAAGGAGGAGCCCGCGCCCGAUUAGCUAGUUGGUGAGGUAACGGCUCACCAAGGCAAUGAUCGGUAGCUGGUCUGAGAGGAUGGCCAGCCACACUGGAACUGAGACACGGUCCAGACUCCUACGGGAGGCAGCAGUGGGGAAUCUUGCGCAAUGGGCGAAAGCCUGACGCAGCGACGCCGCGUGGGGGAUGAAGCAUUUCGGUGUGUAAACCCCUUUCGACUGGGACGAAUGCCUCGCAAGAGGAGUGACGGUACCAGUAGAAGAAGCCCCGGCUAACUACGUGCCAGCAGCCGCGGUAAGACGUAGGGGGCCAGCGUUGUUCGGAAUUACUGGGUGUAAAGGGUUCGUAGGCGGUGCGGCAAGUUGGGAGUGAAAUCUCUGGGCUUAACCCAGAGGCUGCUUCCAAAACUGCUGUGCUUGAGUGUGGGAGAGGCGCGUGGAAUUGCAGGUGUAGCGGUGAAAUGCGUAGAGAUCGGGAGGAACACCGGUGGCGAAGGCGGGUCUCUGGGCAUUCCCUGACGCUGAGGCGCGAAAGCGUGGGGAGCAAACGGGAUUAGAUACCCUAGUAGUCC